ensembl:misc_RNA Metazoa_SRP Metazoan signal recognition particle RNA
ACAGGGUGAAGUGGCAUGUGCCUGUAGUCCCAGCUACUCAGGCGGCUAAGGUGGGAGGAUCAUUUGAGUCCAGGAGUUCUGGGCUAUGGUGAGCUAUGCCAAUUAUGUGUCCGCACUAAGUUUGGCAUCAAUAUGGUGACCUGGGAGCAGAGGGCCAUUAGGUUGUCUAGGGAGGGGUGAACUGGCCCAGGUCAGAAAUGGAGCAGGUCAAAACUCCCGGGAGUUUUGACCAGUAGUGGGAUCGCACCUGUGAAUAGCCACUACACUCCAGCCUGGGCAACAUAACAAGACUCCAUCUCU